GACGAACGCUGGCGGCGUGCUUAGCACAUGCAAGUCGAACGAUGAAGAAAAGAAUCGAAGCUUCGGCAGAAAUUCAUUUCGGAUUAGUGGCAGACGGGUGAGUAACGCGUGAGCAACCUACCUCUUACAAAGGGAUAGCCUCGGGAAACCGGGAUUAAUACCAUAUAACAUUGCGACGAAGCAUUUCGAUGCAAUCAAAGCUACGGCGGUAAGAGAUGGGCUCGCGUCCCAUUAACCGGAUGGUGAGGUAACGGCUCACCAUAGUGACGAUGGGUAACCGGCCUGAGAGGGUGAACGGUCACACUGGAACUGAGACACGGUCCAGACUCCUACGGGAGGCAGCAGUGGGGAAUAUUGCACAAUGGAGGGAACUCUGAUGCAGCGACGCCGCGUGAGUGUUGAAGGAAUUCGUUUCGUAAAACUCUGUUCUAUGGGAAGAAAAGGACUGUACCAUAGGAGAAAGCUCCGGCUAAAUACGUG
rnacentral:rRNA from 1 species